GCUGAGUGGCUGUGAACAAGCUGAGACUCAAUUAAGAUAACAUUCCCCACACAGAAGCAGUGGUUAAUGCUGAGAAGUUAUUCCAACUCACCCUUUACUCUGCACCGGAUGGAGAUACAAGGCAACCACGAGGCAAACUUAGAGAACCGGAGGCAGAGAACAAGAUCGAAAGAGAGGCAGGGAAGGCAGACACCCUGAGCCAAGAGGCGAAUGUUUUCCCCACUGCCCUCCACUGGCCGCAUGCUGGUGCUGGGAGCCCCUGUCUCGGAGGAGAGGAGCCUCGCGAACUUCUGGUUCUCAGAGCUCCUUAAGUUGAACAUUCCAGCUUCCCCCUCUCUCCCUUCCCUUGGACUGUCCACCCACAUUGUCCAGCUCCCCAGCACAUGGAGAGGCUGUCCCGGAGGACUGCGGAUGUGGACGUUGGAGACUUGGCUACCGGUCGGCUUCUCGCUGCGCAGCUCAAGAGGUCAAGGAUCCUGAGGACAGGAGAGGGAGCUGAGGAGUGUGGCCAGGGCUGGGAAGAAGAGACAGCAGACACCACCAAAGGCUUUCUGGUCAAGUUCCUGCUCACUGAUUUUCCUAUCCAAACCAUGGCAGACAGCCCUGGAUGGCAAACCCACCAGUUAUCAAGGAGGCAAGAGGGUUUUUGUUUCUUUCAUGAAAUAUUCUUAGUUCUCCAUGGCCAAGGAGCAGCGUCCCUUGAGUGAGAGAGCCUGGGACCUCGAGGACAGGUCCCAGCCCAGCGGACCUACCCUGCUCGCCUCUCCCAGACUCUCAAGGACAGGUCACUGCCUGUGAUCAUCAGUCAAGCGCUCACAGAGAGAAUGGACACUCCCAGCGGUCCGCCCGGACCUUUUCUAGAGGCUAGGAGGCCGCCUUCCAGGGGUGCCCGUCGAGGGGCCACCCUUUCCUAGCCACGUUCCUUCUCAGCCUUGUGAAACUAUUUGGAAAAGGCUCUGCCAGUAGCAUCAGAGGCAUUUGUCUUGUCCCCUGAACCGCACCCCCACUCUUUCUCCCUCCCAAAAUAACAGUACUCUCCCUUAAGGGAGACUUGAGCUUGAGGCAGCAGCUGAAGAGCUGCCCCCUAAAGGUGGAUAGGCCCCAGAGGUUUCCGGAUUCCAAAGUCUGGAGGACAGAGGCGCUGGUGUCCUCACCAGUCAGGAGGGUCGACCGGCCCCUGCCCUUCAGCACUCUUCCCGUUUCCCCCAGAACCAGAACGCAGGGCUCACCCCAAACCUCUUCCACUUACCAUCAACAUGGAAACUUUUCACGAGGCCAUAUUCUCCCUCUUUGUGCAUUAUCUUGUCCCUUAAAACUGCCCUUGCAUGGAGGAGACUUGUGGGGCUCAGGGAGCCUGGUCUGUCAGCCAUGCCCCAAUAAAGCCCUUCAGCUCCAGUGGGAAAUUUAAU